UAACCUGCCCCUGAAUUCGGGAUAACGUUGCGAAAGCGGCGCUAAUACCGAAUGAUGUCCGCGAAUCUUCGGGUUUGCGGAUGAAAGAUGACCUCUACAUGUAAGUUGUUGUUUGGGGAUGGGCCCGCGUUACCAUUAACUUGGUUGGGAGGGGUACGGGCCUAACCAAGGCUACGAUGGUUAGCUGGUCUGAGAGGAUGAUCAGCCACACUGGAACUGGAACACGGUCCAGACUCCUACGGGAGGCAGCAGUGAGGAAUUUUGCGCAAUGGGGGAAACCCUGACGCAGCAACGCCGCGUGAGUGAUGAAGGUCUUCGGAUCGUAAAGCUCUGUCAAGAGGGAAGAAGUUGUGUAUGGCUAAUAUCCAUAUGCAUUGACGGUACCUCUGAAGGAAGCACCGGCUAACUCCGUGCCAGCAGCCGCGGUAAUACGGGGGGUGCGAGCGUUAUUCGGAAUUAUUGGGCGUAAAGGGCGCGCAGGCGGCCUGUUAAGUCAGUUGUGAAAGCCCGGGGCUUAACCCCGGAAGUGCGAUUGAUACUGGCAGGCUUGAGUAUGGGAGAGGGAAGUGGAAUUCCUGGUGUAGAGGUGAAAUUCGUCGAUAUCAGGAGGAACACCGGUGGCGAACGCGACUUCCUGGACCAAUACUGACGCUGAGGCGCGAAGGCGUGGGGAGCAAACAGGAGUAGAAACCCUGUUAGUGCCACGCAGUAAACGGUGAUCACUAGUGGUAUCGGGUAUUGACACCUUGCUGUGCCGGAUUUAACGCAUUAAGUGAUCCGCCUGGGGAGUACGGCCGCAAGGCUGAUUAAUUCGAAGUAAGUGACGGGGGCCCGCACAUAACGUNGGAGCAUGUGGUGUAAUUCGGACGCUACGCGAAGAACCUGUACCUGGGUUUGACAUCCCGGGAAUCCGUAUGAAUGUUACGGAGUGCCCUUCGGGGAGCCUUGGGAGACAGGUGCUGCAUGCCUGCCGUUCAGCUCGUGUCGUGAGAUGUUGGGUUAAGUCCCGCAAC
rnacentral:rRNA from 1 species